GAUUAAGUUAUUAAGGGCGCACGGUGGAUGCCUUGGCACUAGAAGCCGAUGAAGGACGUUACUAACGACGAUAUGCUUUGGGGAGCUGUAAGUAAGCUUUGAUCCAGAGAUUUCCGAAUGGGGAAACCCAGCAUGAGUUAUGUCAUGUUAUCGAUAUGUGAAUACAUAGCAUAUCAGAAGGCACACCCGGAGAACUGAAACAUCUUAGUACCCGGAGGAAGAGAAAGAAAAUUCGACUCCCUUAGUAGCGGCGAGCGAAACGGGAAGAGCCCAAACCAACAAGCUUGCUUGUUGGGGUUGUAGGACACUCUAUACGGAGUUACAAAGGACGACAUUAGACGAAUCAUCUGGAAAGAUGAAUCAAAGAAGGUAAUAAUCCUGUAGUCGAAAAUGUUGUCUCUCUUGAGUGGAUCCUGAGUAUGACGGAGCACGUGAAAUUCCGUCGGAAUCUGGGAGGACCAUCUCCUAAGGCUAAAUACUCUCUAGUGACCGAUAGUGAACCAGUACCGUGAGGGAAAGGUGAAAAGCACCCCGGAAGGGGAGUGAAAUAGAACCUGAAACCGUGUGCUUACAAGUAGUCAGAGCCCGUUAAUGGGUGAUGGCGUGCCUUUUGUAGAAUGAACCGGCGAGUUACGAUUUGAUGCAAGGUUAAGCAGUAAAUGUGGAGCCGUAGCGAAAGCGAGUCUGAAUAGGGCGUUUAGUAUUUGGUCGUAGACCCGAAACCAGGUGAUCUACCCUUGGUCAGGUUGAAGUUCAGGUAACACUGAAUGGAGGACCGAACCGACUUACGUUGAAAAGUGAGCGGAUGAACUGAGGGUAGCGGAGAAAUUCCAAUCGAACCUGGAGAUAGCUGGUUCUCUCCGAAAUAGCUUUAGGGCUAGCCUCAAGUGAUGAUUAUUGGAGGUAGAGCACUGUUUGGACGAGGGGCCCCUCUCGGGUUACCGAAUUCAGACAAACUCCGAAUGCCAAUUAAUUUAACUUGGGAGUCAGAACAUGGGUGAUAAGGUCCGUGUUCGAAAGGGAAACAGCCCAGACCACCAGCUAAGGUCCCAAAAUAUAUGUUAAGUGGAAAAGGAUGUGGCGUUGCCCAGACAACUAGGAUGUUGGCUUAGAAGCAGCCAUCAUUUAAAGAGUGCGUAAUAGCUCACUAGUCGAGUGACACUGCGCCGAAAAUGUACCGGGGCUAAACAUAUUACCGAAGCUGUGGAUUGUCCUUUGGACAAUGGUAGGAGAGCGUUCUAAGGGCGUUGAAGCAUGAUCGUAAGGACAUGUGGAGCGCUUAGAAGUGAGAAUGCCGGUGUGAGUAGCGAAAGACGGGUGAGAAUCCCGUCCACCGAUUGACUAAGGUUUCCAGAGGAAGGCUCGUCCGCUCUGGGUUAGUCGGGUCCUAAGCUGAGGCCGACAGGCGUAGGCGAUGGAUAACAGGUUGAUAUUCCUGUACCACCUAUAAUCGUUUUAAUCGAUGGGGGGACGCAGUAGGAUAGGCGAAGCGUGCGAUUGGAUUGCACGUCUAAGCAGUAAGGCUGAGUAUUAGGCAAAUCCGGUACUCGUUAAGGCUGAGCUGUGAUGGGGAGAAGACAUUGUGUCUUCGAGUCGUUGAUUUCACACUGCCGAGAAAAGCCUCUAGAUAGAAAAUAGGUGCCCGUACCGCAAACCGACACAGGUAGUCAAGAUGAGAAUUCUAAGGUGAGCGAGCGAACUCUCGUUAAGGAACUCGGCAAAAUGACCCCGUAACUUCGGGAGAAGGGGUGCUCUUUAGGGUUAACGCCCAGAAGAGCCGCAGUGAAUAGGCCCAAGCGACUGUUUAUCAAAAACACAGGUCUCUGCUAAACCGUAAGGUGAUGUAUAGGGGCUGACGCCUGCCCGGUGCUGGAAGGUUAAGAGGAGUGGUUAGCUUCUGCGAAGCUACGAAUCGAAGCCCCAGUAAACGGCGGCCGUAACUAUAACGGUCCUAAGGUAGCGAAAUUCCUUGUCGGGUAAGUUCCGACCCGCACGAAAGGCGUAACGAUUUGGGCACUGUCUCAACGAGAGACUCGGUGAAAUCAUAGUACCUGUGAAGAUGCAGGUUACCCGCGACAGGACGGAAAGACCCCGUGGAGCUUUACUGUAGCCUGAUAUUGAAAUUCGGCACAGCUUGUACAGGAUAGGUAGGAGCCUUUGAAACGUGAGCGCUAGCUUACGUGGAGGCGCUGGUGGGAUACUACCCUAGCUGUGUUGGCUUUCUAACCCGCACCACUUAUCGUGGUGGGAGACAGUGUCAGGCGGGCAGUUUGACUGGGGCGGUCGCCUCCUAAAAGGUAACGGAGGCGCUCAAAGGUUCCCUCAGAAUGGUUGGAAAUCAUUCAUAGAGUGUAAAGGCAUAAGGGAGCUUGACUGCGAGACCUACAAGUCGAGCAGGGUCGAAAGACGGACUUAGUGAUCCGGUGGUUCCGCAUGGAAGGGCCAUCGCUCAACGGAUAAAAGCUACCCCGGGGAUAACAGGCUUAUCUCCCCCAAGAGUUCACAUCGACGGGGAGGUUUGGCACCUCGAUGUCGGCUCAUCGCAUCCUGGGGCUGUAGUCGGUCCCAAGGGUUGGGCUGUUCGCCCAUUAAAGCGGUACGCGAGCUGGGUUCAGAACGUCGUGAGACAGUUCGGUCCCUAUCCGUCGUGGGCGUAGGAAAUUUGAGAGGAGCUGUCCUUAGUACGAGAGGACCGGGAUGGACAUACCUCUGGUGUACCAGUUGUCGUGCCAACGGCAUAGCUGGGUAGCUAUGUGUGGACGGGAUAAGUGCUGAAAGCAUCUAAGCAUGAAGCCCCCCUCAAGAUGAGAUUUCCCAACUUCGGUUAUAAGAUCCCUCAAAGAUGAUGAGGUUAAUAGGUUCGAGGUGGAAGCAUGGUGACAUGUGGAGCUGACGAAUACUAAUCGAUCGAAGACUUAAUCAA
rnacentral:rRNA from 1 species